rnacentral:lncRNA from 1 species
AUUACCUCACAUGUCUAUUACUCUUAAAUUGCAGAACAAGGGCUAAUCAUUCUUAAUUGGUAAAGGUAGUUUUCUCACUGGGAAUUCCCUUUUAUUAAUGAAAUACUUUAAGGUAAAAAAAUAAUGAUGCAAAAGCAGCACUAGGUAAGAAGGCAAUAUAAAGGCAAAAAAGACGUCAUCUCUGCCUUUGGCAUUGGCCCUUUACUUUGUGACCAACAUCUAUCUCUCAGUGAUAUAAAGAAGUCGACAAGCUCAAUGUAAAGAAACAUUUCCCCAUAGUUAGAACUCCUGUUGCUUCAAAAGGAGAGAGGGCUACAAGAGAUAGUUGACUUACCCUUUAUGGUAGGUCUUCCAGCAAAGAUUUGGUAACCAUGGAUCAAUGAUGUUCUAGUUUCAUAGACCUGAACCAUUUUAUACUGGAGUUUGACAACACUGAUCUAGAUCCUGGUACAAUGAGAAGUAUGAGGAAGGAAAGAUAACUUUUAUCUGGAUCUGAAAGUCAAGAAAUUAUCAAAUUAAUAAACAGAUGAAAUUGGCUGGUUCUAGGACAUGGAUCAGAGGUGAGGACUGUGUUCUAUGAAAGGAUGAAAGGGAAAGCAGGGUCACAAGUGGAAGACAAAGAGAAACUGCUAGCAAGCUGGACUUCUACCUACCUCUAUAUCUGGCCCAGGAGGUACGUUGACCUUAUUUGUUCAGAAAGAUCUGUCCCAAAGGAUUCUUUUGUGGACCUUUGAUUUACAUGGGAAGGACUCAGUGGCAAGAGAGAUUAAAGAUACACAAAAUAUAAUGGAGAUA